rnacentral:tRNA from 1 species
AGCCCCGUGGUGAAGAACACAUCAAAUUGCAAAUUUGAAGACGUAGGCUAAUACCCUGCCGGGGCUU